rnacentral:rRNA from 1 species
AAAGGAAUAGACGGGGGCCCGCACAAGCGGUGGAACAUGUGGUUCAAUUCGAUGCUACGCGAGGAACCUCACCAGGGCUUGACAUACAGGCAGUAGUGAACCGAAAGGGGAACGACCUGUCAAGUCAGGAUCCUGCACAGGUGCUGCAUGGCUGUCGUCAGCUCGUGUCGUGAGAUGUUGGGUUAAGUCCCGCAACGAGCGCAACCAUCAUCUUUAGUUACUACUUUUAACGCCCGUAAGGGUUUUAAAAGGCACUCUAAAGAGACUGCCCGUGAUAAACGGGAGGAAGGUGGUGAUGACGUCAAGUCCGUACGGCCUUUAUGCCCUGGGCUACACACGUGUUACAAUGCUUACUACAAACCGUUGCCAAACCGCGAGGUGGAGCUAAUCGGAAAAAAGUAAGCUCAGUUCAGAUUGGAGUCUGCAACCCGACUCCAUGAAGCCGGAAUCGCUAGUAAUGGCGUAUCAGCUACGACGCCGUGAAUACGUUCCCGGGCCUUGUACACACCGCCCGU